CCCCAGGUCCCCCUCUUCCCUGUCCUCUAGCAGUGGUGAAGCUGGAGGGGAAGCUGGGGUGCAGGCCAGGGCUUGAGGGUCCAGUGGGGAAGCCAGGGCCGAGUCCAGCGAUGGAGAUUCUGGAGCCUUUGGGACUGGCUGUGGACAGAAAUGAACUGAGUGAAAUGUUUCUGCUGUUCCCUAAGCAGGGAUCUCUCAAGAUAAUAUUACUUCCAGCUUAUUCAGCUCUAUUCUAAGGUCUUUAUACAUAUUAACUCAUUUAAUCUUCACAGGAACCCUUUUUUUUUUUAAAGAUAACCUUUUAAUUCUAUAAAAUAAAAGGUCUACCUCUGCAAAAAAUGUCAUUGUCGUGAAAGACAAAAACAGAGGAACUAUUACAGACGAAAGAGAAACUGUAACAGUCCAUUGACAGGACAGCUGACCAAAUUAGAGUAUGGACUGUAAAGUCUGUAAAGGUUUACAUCUGUGUCAAUGUAACAUUUCCUCAACUUGAUAAUGGUACUGUGGUUAUACACUAGAAUACCUUUACACUAGAAUACCUUUGUUCUUGCAUAACACACAUUGAAGUAUUGAGGGGUAAAGGAAUGUGAUACAUGCAACCUUCUCUCAGAUGAUUCAGAAAAUAUAAAUAGAGAGUGUGUGUGUGUAGAGAAAGAUAAAAAUAAUGAUAAAACAUUUUAAAACUCCUGUUGCGGGGGCAGCAGGCAUAUAGAAACUACUUUCUGCUCACUUUUGCUGUGAAUCUAACACUGCUCUAAAAAAUAAAGUCCAUUUUUUUUUUUUUUUUUUUGAGAUGGAGUCUCAAUCUGUCAUCCAGGCUGGAGUGCAGUGGCGCGAUCUCGGCUCACUGCAACCUCCGCCUCCUGGGUUCAAGCUGUCUCUCCUGCCUCAGCCUCCUGAGUAGCUGGGAUUACAGGUACGUGCCACCAUACCCGGCUGAUUUUUGUAUUUUUAGUAGAGACAGCAUUUCACCAUGUUGGCCAGGCUGGUCUCAAACUCCUGACCUCAGGUGAUCCACCUGCCUUGCCUCCCAAAGUGCUGGCAUUACACAGGCGUGAACCACCGCGCCCGGCCAAGUCUAUUUUUUGAAAAUAAUAAUAGGCUGGGCAUGGGGGCUUAAACCUGUAAUCCCAACAAUUUGGGAGAAUGAGGCAGGAGGAUUCCUUGAGCCCAGGAGUUCGAGACCAGCCUGGGAAACAUAGUGAGACCCUAUUUCUAAGUAAUAAUAAUAAUCCUUUCCUAAACAGAAUCUGUACAUUAGAUGUUAGAAAAUACAGGUUAAGUGGCCGGGCAUGGUAGCUCAUUCCUGUAAUCCCA
rnacentral:lncRNA from 10 species